rnacentral:rRNA from 1 species
CCUACGGGGGGCAGCAGUGAGGAAUAUUGGUCAAUGGUCGGAAGACUGAACCAGCCAAGCCGCGUGCGGGAUGAAGGUACAGAGUAUCGUAAACCUCUUUUGGCAGGGAACAAAGGCGGGGACGUGUCCCCGGAUGAGUGUACCUGAAGAGAAAGCAUCGGCAAACUCCGUGCAAGCAGCCGCGGUAAUACGGAGGAUGCGAGGGUUAUCCGGUUUUAUUGGGUUUAAAGGGGGCGCAGGCGGUCUGUUAAGUCAGCGGUAAAAGCCCGGGGCUCAACCCCGGCCCGCCGUUGAAACUGGGAGUCUCGAGUUGGAGAGAAGUAUGCGGAAUGCGCGGUGUAGCGGUGAAAUGCAUAGAUAUCGCGCAGAACUCCGAUUGCGAAGGCAGCAUGCCGGCUCCACACUGACGCUGAGGCACGAAAGCGUGGGUAUCGAACAGGAUUAGAUACCCUUGUAGUC